GCGCCUAUAGCUCAAUCGGAUAGAGCGUCUGGCUUCGGACCAGAAGGUUCCGGGUUCGAGUCCUGGUAGGCGCA
rnacentral:tRNA from 1 species